CUGCUGCCUUCCGUAGGAGUCUGGUCCGUGUCUCAGUACCAGUGUGGGGGACCUUCCUCUCAGAACCCCUAGACAUCGUCGCCUUGGUGGGCCGUUGCCCCGCCAACUAGCUAAUGUCACGCAUGCCCAUCCGUUGCCGGAAUCGCUCCCUUUGGCCGCAGGGCCAUGCAGCCCCGCGGCGUUACGCGGUAUUAGACGGGAUUUCUCCCGAUUAUCCCCCUGCAACGGGCAGGUCGCAUACGCGUUACUCACCCGUGCCG
rnacentral:rRNA from 1 species